rnacentral:rRNA from 1 species
UGUGUAAGCGAAGCGAUAAGUGGAGCGGUGAAAGGCUCAGUAACGGGCGAUUUAUUUGAUCUCCUGGGACGGACAACAUCGGGAAACUGAUGGGAAAACGUCUAAGUUGCAGUUUAUUGAUUGUGACGUAAACCUUUGUGUGCAGGAGAGUAAGAUGCCAUCCUAUCAGUUAGUAAGUAGGGUAAGGGCCUACUUAGACGAAGACGGGUACGGGGAAUGAGGGUUUGAUUCCGGAGAAGGAGCCUGAGAGAUGGCUACCAGGACCAAGGUCAGCAGCAGGCGCGAAAAUUAUCGAAGCCCGCCUAGGGGCGAUAGUGAGGAGACGUGUAUACGAAGUACGUGUAAAGACCGUACUAAUAACUGGAGGUCAAGUCUGGUGCCAGCAGCCGCG